GGUGCAGAUCCAUUCUCCUGAGCCUUACGCACUUUUGUAGAGAACACAACGCAGCGGAGAAUGCGAUGCAAGUGAGCAAAGUCUAUUCAGCGCUGUCAAAACAGAUGGCAGCAAAUGGCACAAAAUCAUAUACGCAUGAUGUCAGUUCAUAACAUCUUGUCGACAUACUUGAUUUAAUCGUCUAGCUGCCGAUUCCGCUUGUGAACCCAUAUGGUCGCAUAGCCAAAUGAACCUCUUAGAUUGCAUUUACAAUCUGGCACUUUAAUCAUUGCAAGCAGUGAUAAAAGAGCACAGGCUUGGCACUGGGGAUACAGGCAGUAAUAUAAAGGGAGAAGCUUUGAAACUUUUGGCAGGUCUGCACAAAAAGGAUGGCAGGUACGAUAUGUGUCACUUACAUUUUUGUGGUGGCUGCGAUGAAUCACGUGACUGUUCCAGGUUUAUCCUCGGAUGUUUGAAGGUCAAAAAUAUCACUUCCCCACUAUCUAUCCCUCAGUAGCAAGUUGGCCCAGCUGGAGCACUUACUCGACCACACAGAGUGAAGAAUCAAGUACAGUCAUUUCAGAACUGGAACUCGAUAUUGACUGGAUCAGGAGACAUCAGUCUGUCUUAAGACAUCAAUGGAGUUGGGUGUUUGACCUUAACUCAACAGCUCCCGUGGGCACUUUUACCAAGACUCAAAUAUUUAUUUUCAGAUCAUUUGAUUUGAAUUCGGACUCAAUGGUGAGAGUACAAGUCAUUGCACUUGCAAUGUAACUCAGGCCCCUUGUUUACCAAUUCAACGACAGAGUCACAACAAGAUUGCAUCAUGUUUCCAGUGAACUCAACCACAGGAAAUCAGCUAGUACCCUUCACAAGAUGAAAAUGGAAAAUAUCAAUGUAUUAGUUUGUGAGAUGCUGGCUAGAUUGAUGUGUCAUUGUGACUUGAUUUCUUGGCUCCAAAAGUUCAUGUAGAAUUAACACAAAGAUUUAAGUUCAUGUUGAGAAGAUGCUUUGAAGCUAAUUAACAACACUAGCUACUUACAUUGGUAUAACUUUGCACAAUUCUAUAUAUUUUAGGUUCUGUGCUUACUGGUUAUUACCAUAUAUAGUAUUCAUAAAUGAUUGACCUUGAAAACAGAAAAUGCUGGAAAAAGCUCAGCAGGUCCGGCCAUAUCUGUUGAGAGAAAUUGGACUUAACGUUUCAUAUUGACUGACCCUUCCUCAGAUUACUGAGGUCUGAGAAAUUCUGACAAAGGGUGACUCGACUCAAAAUAUUAACUCUGAUUUCUCUUUACAGAUGCUGCCAGAUCUGAUGAGCUUUACUAGCAAUUUCUAUUUAUGUUUCUGAUUUCCAACAUCUGCAUUUUUUGUUUUAAACUGAUUGACUUCACACACUAUAUUGACUACUUAUGCUGAGAGUGAUAAAGAUUGUAAUUGUGUCCUUGAAUGUGGGAAAUAUCAGUGAUGAUUUUGCACCAUGAGUCAGAGUAAUCUCACUUGUUAUAAAAUGUUCUCUUGAUUUUCGAAACUGUUGGCUGGACUUGAUGUCAUAGCCUGAAAAAUUUGCAGCUGACAACCUUGUUAAUUGUGAUAAUGUGUAAAUCCUUGAUAAUAGUUAGGUCUGCUGUUUCAAUGUUAUUACAGGUUUCGAGUGUCCAUACUGAUGAGCCAUAUUAAUCUUUAAGGCCUCUGAUACCAUUGCAUGAAAUGCCAGGUCCAUAAUAAACAAAUAGCUGUUAGAAAGUGUGCAGCAUCAUGUUGUCCAGUUUCCUGAGUUUGUCUUGUAAAAUGUGUGAAGGAAUAAUAUUUUCACUUACAAUCCCGGCAUUCAGUGCACGUUGGCUACUCCCUCUGGGAUAUAACACUUAGAUGGAGGAAAAAGCUUCAGCUUUAAUGCGGGUGUGCAUGUGGCAUAUUAAAUUGACCAUAUGUAUUGUCUGACUGGGGUCUGUAAGUUGUGACAUUGUAGAUACCUCUCGGACUUUCCCAUCAUGCUUGUAGACCUUCCUUUACAAUGUUCUUUGGUUGACUCUUCCUUACCUGCUGCUGGGAGCAGUGUGUGGCCUUUGGGUUUCUGUAGGCAAUUAGAUUUCUCAGCCUAAUAUUUUGUGUAGAACAUGGGUUGCAUUUGGCUUGAAGUAUUGGAGAAGUUUUCAGUGGGUAAGACAUGCCAGAUUUCAUUCAGGACUGUGAUGUUUUGCCGAGCCUGUUGACAACAGUAAUAGUUGCUGCAAAGUCAAGGACCUCGAGAUGUUGCUGAUAAUCAUCAGAAUUUACAUCCUUCUCCUUGCCAGAAUAUCAAGGGAACAUUGUUUGGAAUUUUCAGGAUUGUUUUUUGAAGGAUCUACUGGAUAUAAAAGACAAUGACCAUUUUAAUUAACCUUCCAGCUAAGUUAGCUUCAGUGAAGUUACAUUCUGUGCAUUAACAUUAACAUUUG